rnacentral:lncRNA from 1 species
UUAAUCAAAUAAUUUUUACAAGAAAAAUAAGGAAAAAGAAAGAGCCAUUAGAAAUCAUCAUAUGACUUAAGAAAAGAAAUUAAAAUAAAAGUAAACAUAAAGAAAAUAAUUUAAAAAAUUGGAACCUUUGAAAAAAAAUUGAGACCAUGUGUUUGGGACUCUAUAAAACUCUGUAAUUUUUGGGUGUAAGAGUCUCUAAAUUUGUGUCUGAAAAAAAUGGUCAUAUUUAU